rnacentral:rRNA from 1 species
GACGAACGCUGGCGGCGUGCUUAACACAUGCAAGUCGAACGGAAAGGCCCCUUUGGGGGUCCUCGAGUGGCGAACGGGUGAGUAACACGUGAGUAACCUGCCCUUGACUUCGGGAUAACUUCAGGAAACUGGGGCUAAUACCGGAUAGGAAUCCUUGCUGCAUGGUGGGGGUUGGAAAGCUUCGGCGGUUUUGGAUGGACUCGCGGCUUAUCAGCUUGUUGGUGGGGUAGUGGCUUACCAAGGCUUUGACGGGUAGCCGGCCUGAGAGGGCGACCGGCCACAUUGGGACUGAGAUACGGCCCAGACUCCUACGGGAGGCAGCAGUGGGGAAUAUUGCACAAUGGGCGGGAGCCUGAUGCAGCAACGCCGCGUGCGGGAUGACGGCCUUCGGGUUGGAAACCGCUUUCAGCAGGGGCGAAGCUUGUGGUGACGGUACCUGCAGAAGAAGCACCGGCUAACUACGUG